rnacentral:lncRNA from 1 species
CGCAAUUUUACACAUUGCGGAGAACUCUCGAAACAAAUCACAGAUAUAGCAGUUCACACAGAGUUAGAUUACGAGAUGAAAACUCGUAGUCUUCCCUCUACACCCAUACAAAAUGCAAUCGGCAGCAACACACCUGAUAACCUCUACAUAUAAACUAGACCGUAAACGUCUCGCUGGAAAACUAGUCAUAAGAACCUUAACUCCAAGACGAACUACGAAAGGCAUGAUCCCUUCAACAAGGGUACGUAGGCAGCCGUCAUAACGCACAGCCCGAAUCUUAUCGCGAGCGAGAAGACCAUUUACCACGGACCU